rnacentral:rRNA from 1 species
UGCAGUCGAGGGGUAACAGAGAGAAGCUUGCUUCUUUGCUGACGACCGGCGCACGGGUGCGUAACGCGUAUACAAUCUACCUUUUGCUGAGGGAUAGCCCAGAGAAAUUUGGAUUAAUACCUCAUAGUAUAUAUGAAUCACAUGGUUUAUAUAUUAAAGGUUACGGCAGAAGAUGAGUAUGCGUUCUAUUAGCUAGAUGGUGUGGUAACGGCACACCAUGGCAACGAUAGAUAGGGGCCCUGAGAGGGGGAUCCCCCACACUGGUACUGAGACACGGACCAGACUCCUACGGGAGGCAGCAGUGAGGAAUAUUGGACAAUGGGCGAGAGCCUGAUCCAGCCAUGCCGCGUGCAGGAAGACUGCCCUAUGGGUUGUAAACUGCUUUUAUACAGGAAGAAACACUCCCUCGUGAGGGAGCUUGACGGUACUGUAAGAAUAAGGAUCGGCUAACUCCGUGCCAGCAGCCGCGGUAAUACG